GGAAAUGUCACUUUUAAAAAUACAUAUCGUGGAAGAGUAUACAUGUUUGCCCAGAGUGAAUCAAUCCCUUCACAGUGAGCCAUUCAAAAGAUUUGAAUCGUUUGGAAGACCACGUGACUGGAAUUUUCCAGAGGCUAAAGACCGUUGCUCCGCCAGCUUCGUUUUCAAACAAGUGACGACGACAGACGGUUCAACUUCGAGGAAGAGCUAACGUUUGCGCUUUCGCUAAUAUUUGGCUACAAACUCACACAUUUGAGUUUUAUUCGUAAAUUAUCGUUUUGAUAUAUGUUUUGAAGGCAAUUAUCUUGCCAUAUAUUCUUUACAUCGGCGUUAUCACCAGAACAAAGGUUUCAAGCUUCAGUCGACUCGCUUGUGUCCGAAAACAAAACAAUGGCUAAGGGAGAAGAAUCGCACUCUGAAAUGGCCCACGAUCGUCAGAGUGAUGGCAUCAAUGUGAUCUUUGACCAAAACAGCCCUGCCUCAUCUCGGUCCCGCUCACGAUCUAGAAGCAGUAGUGGCAGCAAACUCUCACCUGGCUCUGGCCGCUUUAGGGGACGUGGUAGCCACAGGAGACGCCACAAGUCCUCAUCCAGCAGCAGGUCCCCCACUCAUACGCGGUCACGCUCUCACACUCGUUGCCGUAGGCCUUCGUCCCACUGCCGCUGUGACAACCAUCGCAAAAAUGGCCGUGGCCGCCAAUCCCCACCACGGCGCUCCAGGGCCCACUCCAGGUCUUCCAGCCGUCGGAGCAGGAGGGCUGCGAGCCCGUCUUCCCAAUCCAUAACCCACAGAGGCGAUUCAAGAUCCGGAUCUUCAGAGAACUCUGUCAAUUUGAGUUUGGAUGACAAAGGAGAACUCCUCACAGCUGCAAAGGUCAUUGCUACUACAAUCCUAGAAGUGGAAAAGCUGGAGCUUCCUGAGAGUGUGAAACCAAUCCUAUUGGAGCAGUCGGAGUUCAAACGGGUGUCGCUAGAUACAUGGGUGAGACAAGACCCUGAAAAGACUCUGUCACAGAGCGAUGAGGAGGAGCCUGACGAUAUGUUCAGCUCUAAGAUGUCCCCAAAAAGGAAAACGAUCUCUUUCAGCAUUAAUAAUUCUUUGUUCAAACCAUCCCUGGCAUCUCAAUCGAGUGCUAAGGUAACUUCCAGGGUGGACAGCUUUGACAGCAGGAAGCCCUACGGCCACUGGGUUCGGGUCAAAUCAGGCCAAAGCUCCAAUGUGCGCAAACACGCAUUCGCCACAUCACACUAGUGUGCCAUAAUCCAUGGACACUGUAAAUACUGUACAUAUUUUGUACUUAUGCUUUACCAUUUUAUGGCCGACAUUUUCUUUCAGAUGUUGAAAGAGUUAAGUCGGGAGAGGUGAAGAAUUCGUUCAGGUGGGAUUAUUUUUUUCCCUUGUAUAUUGUGCUUUUUAUGAAAUCAAUAAAGAUAUUUAUUUGAUAAAAAUAUUGUUUCUGUGUUUUUGUAACUUGUCUCAGAAAACCAUGAAUUGCAACUUCAUCUUGAGCCUUUAAAAACUGUUCAGGGAAAACAU
rnacentral:lncRNA from 1 species